rnacentral:rRNA from 1 species
UACAGAGGUCUCAAGCGUUGUUCGGAUUCAUUGGGCGUAAAGGGUGCGUAGGUGGCGCGCUAAGUCAGGUGUGAAAUUUCGGAGCUUAACUCCGAAACUGCAUUUGAUACUGGCGUGCUUGAGGACUGGAGAGGAGACUGGAAUUUACGGUGUAGCGGUGAAAUGCGUAGAUAUCGUAAGGAAGACCAGUGGCGAAGGCGGGUCUCUGGACAGUUCCUGACGCUGAGGCGCGAAGGCCAGGGGAGCAAACGGG